AGCGAACGCUGGCGGCAGGCCUAACACAUGCAAGUCGAACGAACCUUUCGGGGUUAGUGGCGGACGGGUGAGUAACACGUGGGAACGUGCCUUUAGGUUCGGAAUAACUCAGGGAAACUUGUGCUAAUACCGAAUGUGCCCUUCGGGGGAAAGAUUAAUCGCCUUUAGAGCGGCCCGCGUCUGAUUAGCUAGUUGGUUGAGGUAAUGGCUCACCCAGGCGACGAUCAGUAGCUGGUCUGAGAGGAUGAUCAGCCACAUUGGGACUGAGACACGGCCCAAACUCCUACGGGAGGGAGGAGUGGGGAAUCUUGCGCAAUGGGCGAAAGCAUGACGCAGCCAUGCCGGGUGAACGAUGAAGGUCUUAGGAUUGUAAAAUUCUUUCACCGGGGACGAUAAUGACGGUACCCGGAGAAGAAGCCCCGGCUAACUUCGUG
rnacentral:rRNA from 1 species